rnacentral:tRNA from 2 species
GGGCGCAUAGCUCAGUUGGCUAGAGCAUCUCGUUUACACCGAGAGGGUCGGGGGUUCAAGUCCCUCUGCGCCCACCA